AUUGAACGCUGGCGGCAGGCCUAACACAUGCAAGUCGAACGCGUGGCGGACGGGUGCGUAAUGUCUGGGAAACUGCCUGAUGGAGGGGGAUCACUACUGGAAACGGUAGCUAAUACCGCAUACCAUCAGAUCUGCCCAGAUGGGAUUAGCUUGGUGGUGGGGUAACGGCUCACCAAGGCGACGCUCCCUAGCUGGUCUGAGAGGAUGACCAGCCAAACUGGAACUGAGACACGGGCCAGACUCCUAAGGGAGGCAGCAGUGGGGAAUAUUGGGCAAUGGGCGAAAGCCUGAUGCAGCCAUGCCGCGUGAAUGAAGAAGGCUUUCGGGUUGUAAAGUACUUUCAUCGGGGAGGCGGUAUCUGCAGAGGAAGCACCGGCUAACUCCGUGCCAGCCGCCGCGGUAAUAC
rnacentral:rRNA from 1 species